GAGCUGGUGUGGUGUAGUGGUUUGAGCAUUGGACUACAACUCUGGAGACCAGGGUUUGAAUCCCUCCCCGCUCA